rnacentral:rRNA from 1 species
AACGAACGCUGGCGGCAGGCCUAACACAUGCAAGUCGAACGAGAAGCCACCUUCGGGUGGUGGAUAGUGGCAGACGGGUGAGUAACGCGUGGGAACGUGCCUUUCGGUUCGGGAUAACCCAGGGAAACUUGGGCUAAUACCGGAUACGCCCUCCGGGGGAAAGAUUCAUUGCCGAAAGAUCGGCCCGCGUCGGAUUAGCUAGUUGGUGGGGUAAAAGCCUACCAAGGCGACGAUCCGUAGCUGGUCUGAGAGGAUGACCAGCCACACUGGGACUGAGACACGGCCCAGACUCCUACGGGAGGCAGCAGUGGGGAAUAUUGGACAAUGGGCGCAAGCCUGAUCCAGCCAUGCCGCGUGGGUGAAGAAGGCCCUAGGGUUGUAAACCCCUUUCAGCGGGGAAGAUAAUGACGGUACCCGCAGAAGAAGCCCCGGCUAACUCCGUGCCAGCAGCCGCCGUAACAC